GGCUGGGUAGCUCAGUUGGUAGAGCAAGCGGCUCAUAAUCGCUAGGUCACAGGUUCGAGUCCUGUCCCAGCUACCA
rnacentral:tRNA from 1 species